rnacentral:rRNA from 1 species
AGCGAACGCUGGCGGCAGGCUUAACACAUGCAAGUCGAGCGGGCCCUUCGGGGUCAGCGGCAGACGGGUGAGUAACGCGUGGGAACGUACCUUUCGGUUCGGAACAACUCCGGGAAACUGGAGCUAAUACCGGAUACGCCCUUUUUGGGGAAAGAUUUAUUGCCGAGAGAUCGGCCCGCGUCUGAUUAGCUAGUUGGUGGGGUAACGGCCCACCAAGGCGACGAUCAGUAGCUGGUCUGAGAGGAUGAUCAGCCACACUGGGACUGAGACACGGCCCAGACUCCUACGGGAGGCAGCAGUGGGGAAUAUUGGACAAUGGGCGCAAGCCUGAUCCAGCCAUGCCGCGUGAGUGAUGAAGGCCUUAGGGUUGUAAAGCUCUUUCACCCACGACGAUAAUGACGGUAGUGGGAGAAGAAGCCCCGGCUAACUUCGUGCCAGCCGCCGCCGUAACAC